rnacentral:rRNA from 1 species
AGGGUUCGAUUCUGGCUCAGGAUGAACGCUGGCGGCGUGCCUAACACAUGCAAGUCGAGCGAAGUGGUUUUAAGGAAGUUUUCGGAUGGAAUUAAAACUGACUGAGCGGCGGACGGGUGAGUAACGCGUGGGUAACCUGCCUCAUACAGGGGGAUAACAGUUAGAAAUGGCUGCUAAUACCGCAUAAGCACACAGCUUCGCAUGGAGCAGUGUGAAAAACUCCGGUGGUAUGAGAUGGACCCGCGUCUGAUUAGCUAGUUGGUAAGGUAACGGCUUACCAAGGCGACGAUCAGUAGCCGACCUGAGAGGGUGACCGGCCACAUUGGGACUGAGACACGGCCCAA